CGCCAGGCACGUAAACGGUUGUACCGGUGUGCGGUGUAUGCCUGAACGUCGGUGUCUGUGUAUGCGUGUCAUCUUUGUGGCAUCACACGUCAACUACACUGAACGCAUACACCUGCAGCACCUUUGGGACUAAUGACACAAAGGUCAAGGCCAGCCUGGCGACCGUGCUUGCCAAGGAGUAGUGUAAAUAUGUAAUCUGUUUCCAUAAUUAGCAUAAGACAUGAAUUUAAGGAAUUCAUAUAUUAUAUCGAGCAAUAAAAACGGUUAAUGCAUU